UACGUAGGUGGCAAGCGUUGUCCGGAUUUACUGGGUGUAAAGGGCGUGUAGCCGGGUUGACAAGUCAGAUGUGAAAUCCUGCGGCUUAACCGCAGAACUGCAUUUGAAACUGUUGAUCUUGAGUACCGGAGAGGCAGACGGGAUUCCUAGUGUAGCGGUGAAAUGCGUAGAUAUUAGGAGGAACACCAGUGGCGAAGGCGGUCUGCUGGACAGCAACUGACGGUGAGGCGCGAAAGCGUGGGGAGCAAACAGG
rnacentral:rRNA from 1 species